rnacentral:rRNA from 2 species
ACGGGAGGCAGCAGUGAGGAAUAUUGGUCAAUGGACGCAGGUCUGAACCAGCCAAGUCGCGUGAGGGAUGGCGGUCCUAUGGAUUGUAAACCUCUUUUGUCGGGGAGUAACGUGCGGGACGUGUCCCGUAUUGAGAGUACCCGAAGAAAAAGCAUCGGCUAACUCCGUGCCAGCAGCCGCGGUAAUACGGAGGAUGCGAGCGUUAUCCGGAUUUAUUGGGUUUAAAGGGAGCGCAGGCGGCGCGUCAAGUCAGCGGUAAAAUGUCGGGGCUCAACCCCGGCCGGCCGUUGAAACUGCCGUGCUCGAGUUCGUGCGAGGAGAGCGGAAUGCGUGGUGUAGCGGUGAAAUGCAUAGAUAUCACGCAGAACGCCGAUUGCGAAGGCAGCCCUCCAGCACUGGACUGACGCUGAGGCUCGAAAGCGUGGGUAUCGAACAGGAUUAGAUACCCUGGUA